AGAGUUAAACAGUGCGUGAAAUUGUUGAAAGGGAAACGUUUGGCACCAGUCGUGCGUUCAGGAAAUCAGUCUAUCGAGGUGGGGAGUUGUAAGGGUUUGGACCGCAAGGCCAGCCUUUGCUGCAUUCCUGUUUGGAUGGAUGCACUUUUCUGUAUGCAGGUCAACAUCAGUUUUGUUCGCCGGACAAAACCCCAAGGGAAUGUGACAGCUUUGGCUGUGUUAUAGCUCUGGGGCGAUACGGUGGACGAGACUGAGGCUUUCAGUGUGUGCUUUCGGGCAAGGCUGACCGGGUGCUAUGAGACAGUUCGGGGUACAAUACAUGUAUUUUGCUUCGUGUCUGGCUUGUACUCGCUCGAAUCAGCUCUUCCACGCUUAGGAUGUUGACAUAAUGGUUUUAAACGACC
rnacentral:rRNA from 1 species